rnacentral:rRNA from 1 species
CUACGGGGUGCAGCAGUGGGGAAUAUUGCACAAUGGGCGCAAGCCUGAUGCAGCCAUGCCGCGUGUAUGAAGAAGGCCUUCGGGUUGUAAAGUACUUUCAGCGGGGAGGAAGGGAGUAAAGUUAAUACCUUUGCUCAUUGACGUUACCCGCAGAAGAAGCACCGGCUAACUCCGUGCCAGCAGCCGCGGUAAUACGGAGGGUGCAAGCGUUAAUCGGAAUUACUGGGCGUAAAGCGCACGCAGGCGGUUUGUUAAGUCAGAUGUGAAAUCCCCGGGCUCAACCUGGGAACUGCAUCGAUACUGGCAAGCUUGAGUUUCGUAGAGGGGGGUAGAAUUCCUGGUGUAGCGGUGAAAUGCGUAGAUAUCCGGAGGAAUACCGGUGGCGAAGGCGGCCCCCUGGACGAAGACUGACGCUCAGGUGCGAAAGCGUGGGGAGCAAACAGGAUUAGAUACCCCGGUAGUC